rnacentral:snRNA from 8 species
UUAAAUGGGUUUUUCGAACAGGGAGUCGAGAAAUGGGGCUUGUUCCGUCCGCUCCACGCAUCGACCCGGUAUUGCAGUACCUCCGGGAACGGUGCAACACUU